rnacentral:lncRNA from 1 species
CUGGGCACAGCUCAGGGAAUAACUCAGCAGCAAUAAUAACACUGCCAUUUUGCAGUCAUGUUCAGCUUUUCCAAAAAGGUGGCUUUAUGGAUUCCUUAUUUUUAAUAAGGCACAACAGAGUCGAGCUGUGUUAAACUAUCUCCCUCAAACCCCCAUCGUGUUGGGGGUGUCAGCCUUUCCUUGCUCUUGAAGAUAAUCUGGGAAUGCAGCUGCACCCUUCCUGCAAUGGUGCACACAGCAAAGGAGACAUAGGAGGAAAUCAACUGUAAAUGGCAUCUUCAGUAAUGAAGGAAAAAGCUGGAUAUCCACAAGUCUGUUUCCUAGGCAACUGAAUGGAGGGACAAUCAGGAUCUCUCAAUUGCACCCCAUUAUAGAUAUUUUCUACACAGACCAGUAAAAGGAAGAAGAAGGUGAUUGGAAAAUCUUCAGCAAAAAAUACUCCUGGAGCACUUUGAAAGCAUGGGGGAAGUGAACAGAUAACACACAAAAUGGCUGCCUGCAUGGAGCUCCUGAUUGCAAUCAUCUUCCGAGCAGUGAGAGGGGGGAUGACAGGAAAAUCGCCCAUUUAAACAUUGCAUUCCCAGAGGUCCCAGAUUUCAUUUCCCAGACUUCAGGGAUGAAGCUGCACUGACAAUUAUGUUUCAUACAAAAUAUCUCACAAAUGGACUUUGAUUCAAUGUAGAGAAGGAUUAUUCUGAAAACCUACAUAGUAAAUUCUCUAUCUCUGUUAUACUUUGGCACCUUACCAACCUAAUGGUCCAAGAUUUUUAAUAUGACCUGAUGAACCAGAGCUGUUGUUGAUCCAGUAAUAUCACUUCUCUGAAUAAUUUAUAGAAUGCACAAACUUAGGCAAAUGAAAUAAGCAUACGCUAAGGGAGUUCACUUGUUUCUGUGCUGGGUAAUCUCUUAGUACCAAAAGUAGCAGUAUAUGUUUUAUUCAGGAACAUACUGGGAAAAAAAUAGAUAUACAAGCGCUUAGGGAUAAAAAUAUUACAAGGUAUC